rnacentral:rRNA from 1 species
GGAUGCGCAGCUACACAUGCAGUCGAGCGAGACCUUCGGGUCUAGCGGCGGACGGGUUAGUAACGCGUGGGAACGUGCCCUUCUCUGCGGAAUAGCCACUGGAAACGGUGAGUAAUACCGCAUACGCCCUUCGGGGGAAAGAUUUAUCGGAGAAGGAUCGGCCCGCGUUAGAUUAGAUAGUUGGUGGGGUAACGGCCUACCAAGUCUACGAUCUAUAGCUGGUUUUAGAGGAUGAUCAGCAACACUGGGACUGAGACACGGCCCAGACUCCUACGGGAGGCAGCAGUGGGGAAUCUUAGACAAUGGGCGCAAGCCUGAUCUAGCCAUGCCGCGUGUGUGAUGAAGGUCUUAGGAUCGUAAAGCACUUUCGCCAGGGAUGAUAAUGACAGUACCUGGUAAAGAAACCCCGGCUAACUCCGUGCCAGCAGCCGCGGUAAUACGGAGGGGGUUAGCGUUGUUCGGAAUUACUGGGCGUAAAGCGCGCGUAGGCGGAUUGGAAAGUUGGGGGUGAAAUCCCGGGGCUCAACCCCGGAACUGCCUCCAAAACUAUCAGUCUAGAGUUCGAGAGAGGUGAGUGGAAUUCCAAGUGUAGAGGUGAAAUUCGUAGAUAUUUGGAGGAACACCAGUGGCGAAGGCGGCUCACUGGCUCGAUACUGACGCUGAGGUGCGAAAGUGUGGGGAGCAAACAGGUUAGACCCC